rnacentral:rRNA from 1 species
UGAGUAAUGUAUCGGAACGUGCCCAGUCGUGGGGAUAACGUAGUGAAAAUUACGCUAAUACCGCAUACGAUCUAUGGAUGAAAGCGGGGGAUCGCAAGACCUCGCGCGAUUGGAGCGGCCGAUAUCAGAUUAGGUAGUUGGUGAGGUAAAGGCUCACCAAGCCAACGAUCUGUAGCUGGUCUGAGAGGACGACCAGCCACACUGGAACUGAGACACGGUCCAGACUCCUACGGGAGGCAGCAGUGGGGAAUUUUGGACAAUGGACGCAAGUCUGAUCCAGCCAUUCCGCGUGCAGGACGAAGGCCUUCGGGUUGUAAACUGCUUUUGUACGGAACGAAAAAGCUCUUAUUAAUACUAGGAGUCCAUGACGGUACUGUAAGAAUAAGCACCGGCUAACUACGUGCCAGCAGCCGCGGUAAUACGUAGGGUGCAAGCGUUAAUCGGAAUUACUGGGCGUAAAGCGUGCGCAGGCGGUUAUAUAAGACAGAUGUGAAAUCCCCGAGCUUAACUUGGGAACUGCAUUUGUGACUGUAUAGCUAGAGUACGGCAGAGGGGGAUGGAAUUCCGCGUGUAGCAGUGAAAUGCGUAGAUAUGCGGAGGAACACCGAUGGCGAAGGCAAUCCCCUGGGCCUGUACUGACGCUCAUGCACGAAAGCGUGGGGAGCAAACAGGAUUAGAUACCCUGGUAGUCCACGCCCUAAACGAUGUCAACUGGUUGUUGGGUCUUCACUGACUCAGUAACGAAGCUAACGCGUGAAGUU